rnacentral:rRNA from 1 species
GACGAACGCUGGCGGCGUGCCUAAUACAUGCAAGUAGAACGCUGAAGAGAGGAGCUUGCUCUUCUUGGAUGAGUUGCGAACGGGUGGGUAACGCGUAGGUAACCUGCCUUGUAGCGGGGGAUAACUAUUGGAAACGAUAGCUAAUACCGCAUAACAAUGGAUGACACAUGUCAUUUAUUUGAAAGGGGCAAUUGCUCCACUACAAGAUGGACCUGCGUUGUAUUAGCUAGUAGGUGAGGUAACGGCUCACCUAGGCGACGAUACAUAGCCGACCUGAGAGGGUGAUCGGCCACACUGGGACUGAGACACGGCCCAGACUCCUACGGGAGGCAGCAGUAGGGAAUCUUCGGCAAUGGGGGCAACCCUGACCGAGCAACGCCGCGUGAGUGAAGAAGGUUUUCGGAUCGUAAAGCUCUGUUGUAAGUCAAGAACGAGUGUGAGAGUGGAAAAUUCACACUGUGACGGUAGCUUACCAGAAAGGGACGGCUAACUACGUGCCAGCAGCCGCGGUAAUACGUAGGUCCCGAGCGUUGUCCGGAUUUAUUGGGCGUAAAGCGAGCGCAGGCGGUUUGAUAAGUCUGAAGUUAAAGGCUGUGGCUCAACCAUAGUUCGCUUUGGAAACUGUCAAACUUGAGUGCAGAAGGGGAGAGUGGAAUUCCAUGUGUAGCGGUGAAAUGCGUAGAUAUAUGGAGGAACACCGGUGGCGAAAGCGGCUCUCUGGUCUGUAACUGACGCUGAGGCUCGAAAGCGUGGGGAGCGAACAGGAUUAGAUACCCUGGUAGUCCACGCCGUAAACGAUGAGUGCUAGGUGUUGGAUCCUUUCCGGGAUUCAGUGCCGCAGCUAACGCAUUAAGCACUCCGCCUGGGGAGUACGACCGCAAGGUUGAAACUCAAAGGAAUUGACGGGGGCCCGCACAAGCGGUGGAGCAUGUGGUUUAAUUCGAAGCAACGCGAAGAACCUUACCAGGUCUUGACAUCCCGAUGCUAUUUCUAGAGAUAGAAAGUUACUUCGGUACAUCGGUGACAGGUGGUGCAUGGUUGUCGUCAGCUCGUGUCGUGAGAUGUUGGGUUAAGUCCCGCAACGAGCGCAACCCCUAUUGUUAGUUGCCAUCAUUCAGUUGGGCACUCUAGCGAGACUGCCGGUAAUAAACCGGAGGAAGGUGGGGAUGACGUCAAAUCAUCAUGCCCCUUAUGACCUGGGCUACACACGCGCUACAAUGGUUGGUACAACGAGUUGCGAGUCGGUGACGGCAAGCUAAUCUCUUAAAGCCAAUCUCAGUUCGGAUUGUAGGCUGCAACUCGCCUACAUGAAGUCGGAAUCGCUAGUAAUCGCGGAUCAGCACGCCGCGGUGAAUACGUUCCCGGGCCU